rnacentral:lncRNA from 1 species
GCAUACCACUAACAUUAUUAUAUAUUAAAUAACUUCGCAACAAAUUCUUCUUUCUUUAUGUCAUUUUUGGAAAUGCUUAAAGGAAAAAAUGGAAUUCAUGUGAAAAAUCGUGUCGCAAGUCAUGAACAUAAUAAGUUAAUACAAAAAAUACCAAAGAAAUAGAGGGAUAUCAAUGUCUAUGAUAAACACUUUGAUCAUGAUCAGUAAAGAAAUUGAAACAUCGAAGUAGAACAUAUACAAUUAACAAUAUCUAUAAGAAAGUAUUACGUACAAGAUAAUCAUAUCACAUAUUUACACAUAAUAAUAUAACUAAUAAACUCAUUUUAUACCUUGCAUAUCUAACUAAAUUAUAUGUUUACACUUUCAGGUUUAGAAGACAUCGAAUAAUCAACUCAUGAAAGAAAAUCUGACUAUUCUUCAAAUUGAGCAUGUAAUGUCUUUUCACAUUAAAUUUUCUAUUAAUCAUUAUGCAUAUAUUGUAAUAUUAUGUUUAUCUAUAUAUACUAAUUUACUUGACACAAUCACUCAUCAAAGACUUGUUUAAAUUAUCUAUAUCGUUAUAAAAAAUUAUUAUCGAUUGAAUCGGGAU